AGGUUCUGAAAGUGAUCAAACACCGUUUCAUAUUCCUUGGAAUGGCCCUAUGUUCUGAAGCACUGGGAAAACUUUUACAUAAUGAAGAAUUAGCACUUGGGGAAUCAACCAGGAACCUGAACUGGAAACUAAAUAGACUGAUCUAGAUCUCUAUUCCAGAUGUCCUUAACAUCCAGGAAGAAGGGGUAUUAUUCAGGAAAAACAUAAUGGUACCUCUCGGCUCACCAGCCCCACCUGAAAGUCUUUUGGGUUUAAAGAAUGGAGAAUGCUGGGAGCAGAUCUUCAAAACUGGAGGAAGGCGAGGAAGGAAGAAGUAAAGGAGCCCUGGAGCAGUGUCCUAAAACUGGAGCCAAAUCACCUUAUUCCUACAACCCAUAGUUCCCUUCAGGCAUUACAAACAGCUAUGAAAACAUCUGAGAGUCUUCCCUCCAUAAGCCCCUCAAAUCUUCUUCAAGCCCAUCUGUUGACCCAGGUCUCUUGAUAGAGAAAAACAGCUUUGUCAGAUUCCCUUUCUGGAGUUAUUUUCUUGCCUUAUCUUCCCUCCCCAAGCAUACUCUUUUCAGAAGACUUGGGUUCUAAUUCCUGCUCUGCUAGUGUCUCCUGUGUUACCUUGGGCAAGUCACCUAACUGCUCUAUGCCUCAGUUUCCUCAUCUGGAAAAUGGGGAUUCCAAACUGUUCUUUCUCCUACUUAGACUGUGAGCCCCAUAUGGCAUAGGGACUGUGUCUGACCUGAUUCCCUUGUAUCUAUUCUAGCACUAGAUUAGGACGGGGCUAGAUUAAGACUAGGAGAGUGCUUGACGAAUAGGA
rnacentral:lncRNA from 1 species